AGAGUUUGAUCCUGGCUCAGAACGAACGCUGGCGGCAUGCCUAACACAUGCAAGUCGAACGGGAUCCGGACUUCGGUUCGGUGAGAGUGGCGGACGGGUGAGUAACGCGUGGGAAUCUGCCCAGUGGUGGGGGAUAACUGCGGGAAACUGCAGCUAAUACCGCAUGAGCCCGAGAGGGGAAAGAUUUAUCGCCAUUGGAGGAGCCCGCGUUCGAUUAGGUAGUUGGUGAGGUAACGGCUCACCAAGCCGACGAUCGAUAGCUGGUCUGAGAGGAUGAUCAGCCACACUGGGACUGAGACACGGCCCAGACUCCUACGGGAGGCAGCAGUGGGGAAUCUUGCGCAAUGCGCGAAAGCGUGACGCAGCAACGCCGCGUGGGGGAAGACGGCCUUCGGGUUGUAAACCCCUUUCAGGAGGGACGAAGGCUCACCGGUGAAUAGCCGUGUGAGUUGACGGUACCUCCACAAGAAGCUCCGGCUAACUACGUGCCAGCAGCGGCGGUAAUAC
rnacentral:rRNA from 1 species